AAAAGCCUGCCGGGGUUUUUUUUUUUAACUGAGAUUUGGUUUAAUCUAAAGAUGAAUUAGAGAAUUGGCGUCUUAAUACUGGCUGUUCUGAACCAUAGACACAGUAUAUCUCUGCCGUGGUCUGAAUGUUUGCAUACCUGCAAAAUUUAUAUGGUUGAAAUCCUAAUCCCCAGUCCAAUGAUAUUGGCAGGCGAGGCCUUUUGGAGAUGAUUAGGCUAAUGAGGGCAGAGCACUAAUGAAUUAGAUUGGUGCCUUUAUAAAAGAGAUUCCAGAGAGCUUGCUCAUCUCUUCUGCCUUGUGAGGACACAGCAAGAAGUCACCAUCUGUGAACCAAGAAGUGGGACCUCAUCAGACACCAAAUCUGCCAACACUUCAAUCUUGGACUUCCCAUUCUCCAGAACUUUGCCUUGAUUAGAAAGUUUGGCUUUGCUGAGAUACGUAGUUGG
rnacentral:lncRNA from 1 species